rnacentral:lncRNA from 1 species
AUGACCAAGAGGGCCAGGCAUGGAUUUAGAAUUUUGGGAGUCCUUGAAAUUCUGAGCUCUGCUGCAGGGAAAGCUGCCUCAGGCUCCGUGCCUCCCCCGUCCACACCUUCACUCUGGCCUCAUCCCUCUGCCCCCUGCAAAAUGCUGCCCCGGAGCCUAGUGUGCACACACUCGGGUCCGGCCCUCACCGGUCAGACCCAGGCUUGUGUAGUGCUGGAAGGGCUCGGGGCCCUUGUCAGAGAAGUCCAGGGACCCAGAGUGGUCUGGGAGUGGGCUAGGGGACACUGGGCAGAUACAGCCCCUGCACGGGUGUCAGAGGACCCACGCUGCAGCCUCUACAGAUGCUUUCUCUCUCAUUGGCUGCCUGAACAUCUGUGCAUGUGUGAGCAGAACCGACACUCAGGGGCUGCACUGCCAGGAAGUACAGGGGCAGCACUGGGGGUCCCCCAGCGAUCCCAGGCCUCUCCAUGAAGGGCUGACCUCACUAGGGCCUCCUUGGACCUGGUGGCUCACUGACACUGCCCAUUUAUCAAGCCAAGUCCUUCUUUUCUAAUACAAGCUCCUGUCUAGCUGAGCCUUUCCCUACUGUGUAUGUGGCCUUAUUUUUAUCCUGAUACAGGACUUUACCUCUCACUGUUAAGUUAGUCUGGACAUUAGGACCAUUUGUUUAAUCAACAGUCACAGCAUGCCAUUAUAUCCAUUUUUCAGAGUACGAAACAUAAUGGCACCUGUUCAAAGGAUUACCAUUAUUUUCUUUUUGACAUUUAUGCCAUUUACUGCUGGGUAAAUCUGGAUUUAUUUGAUAACCAGUAAUGCCACCCCCAUUUAUUCCCUAAAAACACCCAAUAUACUUAAUGGGGGGCCUGGCAUAACUGCUGGAAUAAUUAUGCCACUUUAGGGCACAGUUUCUAGUUUCUAUUCUCACACUAGAAUUCAACCUCGGCCUUUUUACAAAUGUCAUUUUUAUGCUUCAGAAUUUCACCAGGCCACCGCGGAGCAUGUGGGGGUUUCCAUAGGAACCAGGGACCCGCUCAGCAAGCUGGAAAAACAUUUCAGAUAGUUCAGGCCAUUCAGAUAUGAUUUGUUUGCUGACAUCACGAUGUUGGAGAGAUCAAUGUGCUCUUUCCUGGCUUUAUCAGGUCAAAGAUUUUUGAAAUCAUCCUCUUACCAUCUUCCCCACUGCCACAGAUCCAAUCGUGUUUCACUGCAUUUCCUAUAACAGUGGUUUCUUACACCUCCCUCAGCCCCCUCUCCUCCCUCCAAUUUGGCUUUCUUGCUCCAAGGCCAUGAACCAACCGAUCAAGGCACAAAUUUGUGUUCUGCUGCUGAGAAGGCACCCGGGCCAGAACCAAGCCAUUGGAUUUCCACUGGGGAAAG